rnacentral:rRNA from 1 species
UACAGAGGUGGCAAGCGUUGUUCGGAAUUACUGGGCGUAAAGGGCGCGUAGGCGGCCCUCUAAGUCAGACGUGAAAUCCCCCGGCUUAACCUGGGAACUGCGUCUGAUACUGGGAGGCUUGAGUAUGGGAGAGGGAUGUAGAAUUCCAGGUGUAGCGGUGAAAUGCGUAGAUAUCUGGAGGAAUACCGGUGGCGAAGGCGGCAUCCUGGACCAUAACUGACGCUGAGGCGCGAAAGCUAGGGGAGCAAACGGG